AGUGAACGCUGGCGGUAGGCCUAACACAUGCAAGUCGAACGGCAGCACAGUAAGAGUUUGCUCUUACGGGUGGCGAGUGGCGGACGGGUGAGGAAUACAUCGGAAUCUACUUUUUCGUGGGGGAUAACGUAGGGAAACUUACGCUAAUACCGCAUACGACCUACGGGUGAAAGCAGGGGAUCUUCGGACCUUGCGCGAUCGAAUGAGUCGAUGUCGGAUUAGCUAGUUGGCGGGGUAAAGGCCCACCAAGGCGACGAUCCGUAGCUGGUCUGAGAGGAUGAUCAGCCACACUGGAACUGAGACACGGUCCAGACUCCUACGGGAGGCAGCAGUGGGGAAUAUUGGACAAUGGGCGCAAGCCUGAUCCAGCCAUACCGCGUGGGUGAAGAAGGCCUUCGGGUUGUAAAGCCCUUUUGUUGGGAAGGAAAAGCGGCAGGUUAAUACCCCGCUGUUCUGACGGUACCCAAAGAAUAAGCGCCGGCUAACUUCGUG
rnacentral:rRNA from 1 species